UACGUAGGGGGCUAGCGUUGUCCGGAUUUAUUGGGCGUAAAGAGCGUGUAGGCGGCCAGGUAGGUCUGCUGUGAAAACCCGAGGCUCAACCUCGGGCCUGCGGUGGGUACGGGCAGGCUAGAGUGAUGUAGGGGAGACUGGAAUUCCUGGUGUAGCGGUGAAAUGCGCAGAUAUCAGGAGGAACACCGGUGGCGAAGGCGGGUCUCUGGGCAGUAACUGACGCUGGAGGAGCGAAAAGCCGUGGGGAGCGAACAGG
rnacentral:rRNA from 1 species